rnacentral:rRNA from 1 species
AUUGUAGGCUGAAACUCGCCUAUAUGAAGUCGGAAUUGCUAGUAAUCGCGAAUCAGAAUGUCGCGGUGAAUACGUUCCCGGGCCUUGUACACACCGCCCGUCACACCAUGAGAGUCGAUAACACCCGAAGCCUGUGAGCUAACCUUUUAGGGGGCAGCAGUCGAAGGUGGGGUUGAUGAUUGGGGUGAAGUCGUAACAAGGUAGC